GACGAACGCUGGCGGCGUGCCUAAUACAUGCAAGUCGAGCGCAGGAAGCUGACGGAACUCUUCGGAGGGAAGGCAGUGGAAUGAGCGGCGGACGGGUGAGUAACACGUAAGGAACCUGCCUCAAGGAUUGGGAUAACUCCGAGAAAUCGGAGCUAAUACCGGAUAGUUCAUCGGACCGCAUGGUCCGUUGAUGAAAGGCGCUUCGGCGUCACCUUGAGAUGGCCUUGCGGUGCAUUAGCUAGUUGGUGGGGUAACGGCCCACCAAGGCGACGAUGCAUAGCCGACCUGAGAGGGUGAUCGGCCACACUGGGACUGAGAGACGGCCCAGACUCCUACGGGAGGCAGCAGUAGGGAAUCUUCCACAAUGGACGAAAGUCUGAUGGAGCAACGCCGCGUGAGUGAUGAGGGUUUUCGGAUCGUAAAACUCUGUUGUAAGGGAAGAACACGUACGAGAGGGAAUGCUCGUACCUUGACGGUACCUUACGAGAAAGCCACGGCUAACUACGUGCCAGCCGCCGCCGUAA
rnacentral:rRNA from 1 species